CACUCUCUCUCAAAAUAAUUAAACAAACAUUAAAAAAAACCAAACUGGGACUCUCUUCUUUCUCUCCAGGAUCAACGUCAAUAAUAGUACAAGCAAUAACAACAGCCACUAUAAUUGACGUGCACCAUGUGUAAGACACUCUGUGUAACUUGACUUAUUCUCACAAUGGCCGAAUGACUUGGUAACAGUAUCGUCUCAGUUCACGGAUCAGGAGCCAGAGCGGAUGAGGGGUGUGCCUGCGGUCUCAGAGUAGAGAUCUGAACUCAGGUCUGUGGAACACUAAAGCCAAUGCCCUCACCCACCACCAGGCUCGGGCCGCCCGUCCGUCCUCCCGCCGGCACCGGGGCCUGGACCAGACCUCUGGGUCCCGUCCUCCUUCCCUGCCCCUUGGCCCCACAGGGUCAGUGCCUGAGCACACCACUCAAGGCUUCUCUUAACAUCUCCUGGUCCCGACAAGCCGCCCCCUGUCACUCAGCGACUGCCCCGACUGCCCCGGCUGGCUGCCUGGGUCUGAGCCGAGGUGCAGGGAGGGGAGAGCCUCGUGAGCGUUACAAGCGCUGCCCUGUCAGGGGCCUUUGUCUCUCCCAUAAUUGGGACCCAGCCGUCUCUCCAGGCCCCUGAGACCCGGCGAGGCUGUGGGCCAAGUCCCUGGCAGAGCAGCCGGCUGAGGACGCUGAGUGGAAGCAGAUGUGCCCGGGGCCACGUCUGGCCUGGUGCCCGGGGAGCCCUCGGAGCUCCGGAGCUGGGAGGAUGAUCAGUUUUUAGAGCCGAGGAGGGCUGCACACAGGACAAAGCAGCCUCAGAGCCAAAUAUUUUCAUCUGUCUGGUUAAAGAAAGAAAUCAAAUCUUCAUUUUUGUUGUCUAUACCAGAGCCGGUGCUGAGCCAAAGGCCAAUUAGAGAUUGACCUUACGGAGGGGGAGCCUGGGCCCAUGGCAGGGACUUGCCCAAGGUCACCCCACACCUUGUGGACUAUGACACAUGAUACAAAUUAGGGUGACAAUUGGGGUCCCCGACCUUCCUCUGGCAAGGUACUCAUGAACAUCUUUCUUGUCUGGCCUGAAUGUGGGCCUCAGAGCCAUGAGGUUUUCCAGAAGAGACACCUGCCAUUCUAGGAAGGGGGAAGAUAGCCAGUGUCCCCCUGUUUAGUCAGGUUAACUCCUGCUCCAAGGCCACAGGUUCUCCUUAACCAGCUCUGCACUGUGACCGGGAACCCUGGGUUCAAGUCCUGAGUCUGUCUCUGACAUGCUGUGUGACCUUGGCAAGCUGCUUCUUUUCUCUGGGCCUUAGUUUUUUCAUCUGAAAAAUCGGGUAAUGGUAUACUAAGGUCUUCUAGACAGCAGAGGGUAUAUUUUGAAAAUCAGGUCCCUUGUCCAUUUCUUGAGAGCUUCCAAAGCCAACCCUCUGAGAUAGCAGAAGCAGUAUUAACCACUCUCUGGAAGGGAACUGACAGCUCAGAGAGGUGAAGUGACUUGCUCAAUGACACACAGCACCCACAAAGCUGUGGGACUGGAUGGAAGUUUCUUGAUUUCUAGCUCUGUGGUCAUCUGCUCUCCAGGAGACCACUGCUCUCCCUGCCAGAUCACACGGGGACAGUAGGGAUGGCCUUCAGCUCUGAGGUCCUCCACCAGCCCUCCUGGGGGAGCUGAAAAUGACGGGAAGGGUCAAAGCACUGAGGAUUGCCCCACCUUCCUAAUAAAAGCGGCUUCAGAGGUUCAACACGGUGCUUGGCCUUCUACCCUCGUCAGCACCCCUGUUGGAGAGUGAGGUCAGCUGGCCUCUGCUUGGACCGCUUCCGGACAGGAAGCUCACCGCUUCCUGGGGCAGGUUAGCUAGGGUUGUGAGAAAGCACCCUCCACCUGACUCCUUGUCAAGGCCUCUCCCGGAAAGGGGCCCGUCUGCUGCUGCCUUGCUCCGAGAGCUGACGAGUCUCCAGCAGCCCCCUCACCGGGCUCCCACUGCUGGAGAGCCCCCUCCCCCGAGGCUGGGGCCGCCCUGCAGCAGGCAGGAGGGAGCCGGCCUCUCUCUGCCCCUGGCAGCACGAGAGGAACCUGGGAGCCCUUUGGCAGGACCUCGCGGGGGAAGGGACGAGACUGGUAGGACGGGCCAGCAGAAGACUGGAAAUGAGAACACCUGAGUCUGUGCAACGCUGAAUCUGCCAGUAACUUGCUAGCUUUUAACAUAUCGAAGCAACCAUGGAUACGUCAUGAAGCAGAAGGAGGAUGUGGUGUACAGACGGAAGAUAAAACUUGAGGCUGAAGACCCUUCAAGACCAUGGACAUCUGGCCUGGGUUCUCCAAAGGAUCUAGGACCAUGAGGAACAAAGUAGGGGAGACAUCACAGCCCGAUGCCAUACGCCAUGUUUGAUUGGAUCCUGGACUGGGAAAAAACAGAAGCCACAAAGAACGUUUGGGAGGCCACCAGGGAAACAUGAAGUUAGGUGUUAGGUGUUCGUGUUGUUCGUGUUAGGUGAUGUUGCCCAGUUAAUGCUGGUUAUCUCCGAUGUGGAGCUGGUGUGGGAUUGUGGAGGGGAAUGUCCUGCUCUGGGGACACACACCCUGCGGUGUUCGGGGAUGGGCUAUCAUGAAUGCCCACCUUCCUUUUGGAUGGUUGGCAAAAGUGAAGUGUGUGUGCGUGUGCGUGUGUGUGGGGGGGAG